GGGGAUAUAACUCAGUGGUAGAGUGCUUGCUUUGCAUGCAAGAAGCCUCGGGUUCGAUCCCCGAUAUCUCCA
rfam:Anaeromyces robustus strain S4 BCR32scaffold_442, whole genome shotgun sequence.